rnacentral:lncRNA from 1 species
UACUGUGAUGUCUCAUGGGCCUUGUAGUCCCGUUCCUAGUACUAUUGUGGCAGAUGAGGAGGAAAACAUGGGAUUUCCACCGGUUCAGCCAGAAUCGGAGCCCCUGCACCUGGAGGAUGUUUGCCCUCAAGAAGUCAGCCAAACAAGCCUUGGGCAGAAUUCUCCCCCGUUUUCUCGAAGGGACAAUUAUAAUAGAGAUAGAGGAACUAGGGAGGCGAAUCGCCGGAGCGCCAGAAUCGCAGCCAAACAAGCCUUGGGCAGAAUUCUCCCCCGUUUUCUCGAAGGGACAAUUAUAAUAGAGAUAGAGGAACUAGGGAGGCGAAUCGCCGGAGCGCCAGAAUCGCAGCCAAUUAGCUGAUUAGGUCUGCUUCCCUUGGGAAAUUCUAAGGAGUCAUGCAUCUGGACAGAGUUGGGUUUCACUUUUAGUUCUCCAGGGAAAGUGUUCUUCUGGUGGGAAACGAGACCCUUUACGGACAAUCUACGGACAACGCCGGCUCUUCGGCUUAGAAAUGGAGAUGAGCACCAACCCUCAGAGUCAGUCACGACUGGACUUAAUGUCAGGGGAAAACCUUUACCUUUACCUAAAGGUAUUAUCCAUGGUGCUGAAACUGUACAGAGGACAUAGUUCAGCACCAUGGAUGGUUCCUUCGAAGUGUAGAUUAAGUCCUGGAGUAGAUUUACAAUACUGAUGGCUCCUACAUCCAAGGUGCUGAACUAAGGCCAUUGUGAUUUCGGCAACUAUAGCAUUAUGAUUCUUGUUUUGGGAACUUUUAUAUUUUAAAAAUUGCAUUACAGUAUUUUGCUCAAGUAACAAUUAUAUCAAUACUACAAGUAGUUUACUUCUAUAGUAUCAUUUACUUUUGGUAUGUUUUAAUUAUAGUGUUUUAAAAAUUGUGAGCCACUUUGAGUCCCAAUCUUGGGGAGAAAGUGGGAUAUAAAUAAAUAUAAUUAACAUCAUCACUAUCAUCAUUCUAGGAUUUCCCAUUUGAAGAGGCAAAUUGGAUUUCAAAGGAUGUUUCAUGGCUGGUAAAGUGGAAUUAUAGUACUGUAUGUGUGUAGUGAUGAGCUAGGUGAGGCUCAGAGCCGGUGACUGAUUUAAGCACUAUCUGUGACCUUAAUGGCCAGCUGGGAAACUGAGCUGAGAUUUAGUGUUACACAAAUUACUACAUAAUUCUGUAUAAAUCAUUAUUUUAAAAUGAUUUAUCACAUCUUGCCCUUUGCUGAAUAUCUGCAAAAUUUUAUGACAAUGUCUUAAUUUGAGUCUAUACGUAGAGAACCCAAUUAGAAGACCAUCAAGAUGUUAUUCCGGAAAUUCAGGAUAUUAUUUCCCACAUCAGAUGCCAUCACUCCCAUGAUGAGGAGAGGCUCCCAUUGGUAGAGUGAGGUUGCUGCCUCGGGUAGCAGGAUGGCAAGGAAAGGGUCAGAAUGUACCAGAACUACUUUAGAUACCACAGCUGUACAUGCAACACAGUCCAGCCCAUGUCUGCUCAGCUAGUCUUUUGCCCCUGGCAUGAUACUGUUGACUCAAUUGCCCAUCGGUCAACUGAACAAGGGCACACAAUCUGAUAAUUUGCCCUGGACAGCAAAUGUCUUGAGUUAGAGCACCAGCACCAUUUCCUUAACUGCACUAGCAGUGUAAAAGAACAAGGAAUCAGAUAUGGGCAGAAAUAACAUUCUAUCACGCACCUUUCCUUCAAGAUAUAUUUUUAUUGUAUGCCUUCAGGUAAUUUCUUUCUUAUGGGCACUGGAAGGUAAACGUAUUAAGAGUUUUCUCAGAAAGGUUUGUUUAGAAAUUUGCUGUUCUGGGCAUCACAGUUCAAGAAGGAUGUUGAUGAGCUGGAAAGUGUAGAGGGAAGGGCAACAAUGGUAAAAGAUCUGGAAGCAAAAACAUAUGAGAAGCGACUUAGCGGGAUUGACGAAAUUUAAGUUUAACUUAAGUUUCAGUCAGUGGUUCUCAAUUUGGGGCCCCCAGAUGUUUUUGGUCGUCAACUCCCAAAAAUCCUAACAGCUGGUAAACUGGAUGGGAUUUCUGGGAGUUGUAGGCCAAAAACAUCUGGGACCCCAGGUUGAGAACCACUGGUUAAAGUGAAGACAUCUGCCCUGGCCCUUUGCUACUCUGCCGCUGAACAUGUAUGCCCAGUGUGGAACACACCUCACCACAUUAAAAUAGUGUUAUGUUGCACUUAAUGAGUCAUGCUGCAUUAUCACAGGAUGAUACCCCACACCCCUGUAGAAAUUCUAUUGUUUAGCCAAUAUUGCAACACCUGACAUCCAUCGGGAAGUAGCAGCCAAUAAUGAAAGGACCAAGGCAGUGACAUCUCUGGCCCAUCUUCUGUUCGGAUAUCAGCCAGCUCACCAAUGCUUUAAAUUAAGAAAUAGCUUUUAAAGAUCUACAGAGAUACUUGCAGGAACACAUCAGUAAGCAAGAGUCCAAAAGUGCCAGGCUAAAACCCAGAACCUCAGCCCAUGGCUGAUACCAGAUGUGAGACUCCACCCUGGGCACACAGAAGACUGGGCAACUUGGAAGGUGCCUAACAGACUGCGCUUUUCAGAAAUGAGGCUACAAAGUGGAGUCCACAAUAUGUGACUGUGGAGAAGAGUAAACCACGGACUACUUACUACAAUGCUGUUUGAGCCCUGCAACAUGCACAAUGGAAGACCUUCUCACAGCGACACCAGAGGCCCCCAAGUGGCCAUCUUCUGGUCAAAGAAUGUUUAGUAUAAUGCCAAGUUUUUAAACUUUGUGUUUUAAAUACAUUAUAAAUGUACCCUCAAUUUGCUUCUGACACGAUAAUUAAAUAAAGUUGGACUUCCUGUCAGUCAGAGCUGUUUGACUGGAAUAUGCAUUGCCACCUGGCUUCCCUUUGGAACAUGGGAAUCCUCCCGAGUUUAAGGUGCUGCCUCUCUGCUGCUGUUCGAUCUCACUUAUGUCAUGUGAUGGGAUCUGGUGGGUUCUCCGCCUGAAAUGAGGCCCGUCUGAUAAGGUUGUAGGUCUCUACAGUCAUCUAUGGAGCUACCCCCAAGACUCUACACUUGGGUGGCAAUCAUACCCUACAAUGGGUGAUAGCCCAUGAUGAAACAACAAUGAAUUUCACAUUUAGACACGUUUAGACUUGGGUCCUAUUGCUAAAAUAUGUCAUUAUUUAUCAUAUACAGCUAUUCCAUUAAAGGUUCUGGAUCCAUUUUGGAGAAGGGAUACUCAGAGGAGGAGGAGGAAGGAGGGGGAGGGGUACGGCUGAAGGAAGGAGGAGGAGGAUGGGGAAGGAGGAGGCUGCAAAGUAUGGGAAAUCCUCGUCUCUCUUGUUAUUUGUGCGACAGGCAGAAGUAGGAGGGGCCGCUAGGUGGGAGGUUUCUAAAAAUAAGCAGAGCCGCCUCGACUGUCCGAUGUGAGAAGAAAAAGAAGAAAUCCCCGGGCGAGGCCAAGAGCUUCCAUCUUCCCCGCCUCUCUCCCCAAACCCUAGCGACGGGGGGAAUCGAAAAAAGGAGGCAAGAGGCCGCAGUGCGCGGCGCUUCCGCUAGGGGUCACUGCGGAGGCAAGUCGGCCUGCUCGGUUGCCGCCGCCGCCGCUGCUUCGUGUGGGCAAAGGAGAUCAUCAGCUGACUCGCCGCCGCCGCCUCCUCCUCCUCCCCGGAGUCCGGCUGGUGCCGCCGCCGUUUCAUUCCCCAGAAGCAGAAGCAGCAGCAGCGCAGAGGCGGGGACGGGAAGCGAAGCGGCCGGGACGGAUCUUGGCUUCCUUGUCUCUCCACGAAGCUCUG